rnacentral:lncRNA from 1 species
UGUAUCUCUAAAAGCUUAUAUGCCCACUUCCUCCUUUGUAUAAAUCAUGACAAUGGAUCUGUCUUUUAUUUGAAGUUUCUCCACUUUUUAAGUGUAAGAUAAAAGGUAAAGUUCCAAUCUUUUCCUUGUCACACACAAGUGUCAAGUGCAUAUCAAUGACCAGUGGCGGAAUCAGGAGCUUCCUUUUGGUAGGAGUAGCGGCGCAGCACCUUCAUCCCCUUCAAAGCAUUUUCCGAUCGCCGGUACGGCACGUGGCCCCUUACUGUACUUUACCUCACCUCUGUCAAUGACAACCCAAUAACAAAACAAAACAUUCAGAAAUUCUUGAAGUUUGUAUUACCAAUUUUUAUUUUCUUACUUUCCUAUUCAUUUCCAUUUAAUUAGUUUAAAUUUGCCUUUUUUCACCAGUAAAAAAUUGUUCAAAUAAUUGAUAGUUAAUGAAUGAUAACAUAAUACUAUCAUAUUAACUAAAAACCAGCCGAG